GGAGCCGGCCGGCUGCCGAGCGCCGCCGAGCGUCGCCUGGGGAGCCGCGGAGGUCGAGUACCGGUCCGCGGGGUGGUGAGGGGCGUGCCGGGCUCGGCGGCGCCGUGGGGGUCUUCCGCCGCCGCGCGAGGUGGUUCCCGGGACUCCAGACUAAAAAGUCAGACCAGUGCUGGACGAGGUGGCGCACGCCUUUAAUCCCAGCGCUCGGGGAGGCAGAGGCAGGAGGAUCUCUGUGAGUUCGAGGCCAGCCUGGUCUACAGCGCGAGUUCCAGGAAAGCCAGAGCUGUUACACAGAGAAACCCUGUCCCGAAAAACCAAAACUUAAUUAAAAAAAAAAAUCAACCCAGCGAUAAAAGAACAAUCUCCGUUUAUUAAACAUGAUUUUUCUGUUUCACCACACACUCCAGAAAAAAAGGAAAUGGGGCUGGGAGUGGGAGAAAGGGGGCGGGGCUAGGAGUAGGGGCGGUAAAGAGAACGAGUAAACAAAGAAAAAUGAGUACCAAGAAGGUCUUCGCACUCUUAAGGUAGGUGGGUGGGGAGAGAAGUGAGGGGUGGGGCUAGGGAGCCAGGAAGCUCUGUACAGAGGGGUCGCCUCCCAGCCCCCAGCCCGUUAUGUACAGUACAAACCCCAGAUAAUUACAACAGCCAAAGAGGAGGGGGGAGGUACGAGGGUAGGGCCUGAAGUGGGGUAAGCAGAGGAAAGGGAACGGGAUAAAAUUUCACAUAUUUACAACUUU